GAUGAACGCUGGCGGCGUGCCUAACACAUGCAAGUUGAGCGAUUUACUUCGGUAAAGAGCGGCGGACGGGUGAGUAACGCGUGGGUAACCUGCCCUGUACACACGGAUAACAUACCGAAAGGCAUGCUAAUACGAGAUAAUAUACUUUUAUCGCAUGGUAGAAGUAUCAAAGCUCCGGCGGUACAGGGUGGACCCGCGUGUGAUUGGCAAGUUGGUAAGGUAACGCCUAACCAAGGGGACGAUCAGUAGCCGACCUGAGAGGGUGAUCGGCCACAUUGGAACUGAGACAAGGGCCAAACUCCUACGGGAGGCAGCAGUGAGAAAUAUUGCACAAUGGGCGAAAGCCUGAUGCAGCAACGCCGCGUGAGCGAUGAAGGCCUUCGGGUCGUAAAGCUCUGUCCUCAAUGAAGAUAAUGACGGUACUUGAGGAGGAAGCCCCGGCUAACUACGUGCCAGCAGCCGCCGUAAAAC
rnacentral:rRNA from 1 species